rnacentral:rRNA from 1 species
GUACACAAAAAUGCACAUGCUGUGAGCUCGAUGAGUAGGGCGGGACACGUGGUAUCCUGUCUGAAUAUGGGGGGACCAUCCUCCAAGGCUAAAUACUCCUGACUGACCGAUAGUGAACCAGUACCGUGAGGGAAAGGCGAAAAGAACCCCGGCGAGGGGAGUGAAAAAGAACCUGAAACCGUGUACGUACAAGCAGUGGGAGCACGCUUAGGCGUGUGACUGCGUACCUUUUGUAUAAUGGGUCAGCGACUUAUAUUCUGUAGCAAGGUUAACCGAAUAGGGGAGCCGAAGGGAAACCGAGUCUUAACUGGGCGUUAAGUUGCAGGGUAUAGACCCGAAACCCGGUGAUCUAGCCAUGGGCAGGUUGAAGGUUGGGUAACACUAACUGGAGGACCGAACCGACUAAUGUUGAAAAAUUAGCGGAUGACUUGUGGCUGGGGGUGAAAGGCCAAUCAAACCGGGAGAUAGCUGGUUCUCCCCGAAAGCUAUUUAGGUAGCGCCUCGUGAAUUCAUCUCCGGGGGUAGAGCACUGUUUCGGCAAGGGGGUCAUCCCGACUUACCAACCCGAUGCAAACUGCGAAUACCGGAGAAUGUUAUCACGGGAGACACACGGCGGGUGCUAACGUCCGUCGUGAAGAGGGAAACAACCCAGACCGCCAGCUAAGGUCCCAAAGUCAUGGUUAAGUGGGAAACGAUGUGGGAAGGCCCAGACAGCCAGGAUGUUGGCUUAGAAGCAGCCAUCAUUUAAAGAAAGCGUAAUAGCUCACUGGUCGAGUCGGCCUGCGCGGAAGAUGUAACGGGGCUAAACCAUGCACCGAAGCUGCGGCAGCGACGCUGAUGCGUUGUUGGGUAGGGGAGCGUUCUGUAAGCCUGCGAAGGUGUGCUGUGAGGCAUGCUGGAGGUAUCAGAAGUGCGAAUGCUGACAUAAGUAACGAUAAAGCGGGUGAAAAGCCCGCUCGCCGGAAGACCAAGGGUUCCUGUCCAACGUUAAUCGGGGCAGGGUGAGUCGACCCCUAAGGCGAGGCCGAAAGGCGUAGUCGAUGGGAAACAGGUUAAUAUUCCUGUACUUGGUGUUACUGCGAAGGGGGGACGGAGAAGGCUAUGUUGGCCGGGCGACGGUUGUCCCGGUUUAAGCGUGUAGGCUGGUUUUCCAGGCAAAUCCGGAAAAUCAAGGCUGAGGCGUGAUGACGAGGCACUACGGUGCUGAAGCAACAAAUGCCCUGCUUCCAGGAAAAGCCUCUAAGCAUCAGGUAACAUCAAAUCGUACCCCAAACCGACACAGGUGGUCAGGUAGAGAAUACCAAGGCGCUUGAGAGAACUCGGGUGAAGGAACUAGGCAAAAUGGUGCCGUAACUUCGGGAGAAGGCACGCUGAUAUGUAGGUGAAGUCCCUUGCGGAUGGAGCUGAAAUCAGUCGAAGAUACCAGCUGGCUGCAACUGUUUAUUAAAAACACAGCACUGUGCAAACACGAAAGUGGACGUAUACGGUGUGACGCCUGCCCGGUGCCGGAAGGUUAAUUGAUGGGGUCAGCGCAAGCGAAGCUCUUGAUCGAAGCCCCGGUAAACGGCGGCCGUAACUAUAACGGUCCUAAGGUAGCGAAAUUCCUUGUCGGGUAAGUUCCGACCUGCACGAAUGGCGUAAUGAUGGCCAGGCUGUCUCCACCCGAGACUCAGUGAAAUUGAACUCGCUGUGAAGAUGCAGUGUACCCGCGGCAAGACGGAAAGACCCCGUGAACCUUUACUAUAGCUUGACACUGAACAUUGAGCCUUGAUGUGUAGGAUAGGUGGG